rnacentral:rRNA from 1 species
CUCCGGUUGAUCCUGCCGGACCUGACUGCUAUCGGAUUGGUACUAAGCCAUGCGAGUCAUUGUAGCAAUACAAGGCGGACGGCUCAGUAACACGUAGUCAACCUAACUCGUGGACGUGGAUAACCUCGGGAAACUGAGAAUAAACCACGAUAGACCAUAGUGCCUGGAAUGGCUUAUGGUCCAAACAGUUUACUGCCAUGGGAUGGGACUGCGGCCUAUCAGCUUGUUGGUGAGGUAAUGGCCCACCAAGGCGAUUACAGGUACGGGCUCUGAGAGGAGAAGCCCGGAGAUGGGUACUGAGACACGGACCCAGGCCCUAUGGGGCGCAGCAGGCGAGAAACCUUAGCAAUGUGCGAAAGCACGACUGGGUCAGUCCGAGUGAUUCCUGAUAAAGGAGUCUUUUGCUUGUCCUAAAAGCACAGGUGAAUAAGGGGUGGGCAAGUCUGGUGUCAGCCGCCGCGGUAAUACCAGCACCUCGAGUGGUCAGGACGUUUAUUGGGCCUAAAGCAUCCGUAGCCGGCUUUGCAAGUCUUCGGUUAAAUCCACCUGCUCAACAGAUGGGCUGCUGGAGAUACUACAAAGCUAGGGAGUGGGAGAGGCAGACGGUAUUCGGUGGGUAGGGGUAAAAUCCACUGAUCCAUCGAGGACCACCAGUGGCGAAGGCGGUCUGCCAGAACACGUUCGACGGUGAGGGAUGAAAGCUGGGGGAGCAAACCGGAUUAGAUACCCGGGUAGUCCCAGCUGUAAACGAUGCAAACUCGGUGAUGCAUUGGCUUAUGGCCAAUGCAGUGCCGCAGGGAAGCCGUUAAGUUUGCCGCCUGGGAAGUACGGACGCAAGUCUGAAACUUAAAGGAAUUGGCGGGGGAGCA